rnacentral:rRNA from 1 species
AGUGAACGCUGGCGGUAGGCCUAACACAUGCAAGUCGAACGGCAGCACAGUAAGAGCUUGCUCUUACGGGUGGCGAGUGGCGGACGGGUGAGGAAUACAUCGGAAUCUACUUUUUCGUGGGGGAUAACGUAGGGAAACUUACGCUAAUACCGCAUACGACCUACGGGUGAAAGCAGGGGAUCUUCGGACCUUGCGCGAUUGAAUGAGCCGAUGUCGGAUUAGCUAGUUGGCGGGGUAAAGGCCCACCAAGGCGGCGAUCCGUAGCUGGUCUGAGAGGAUGAUCAGCCACACUGGAACUGAGACACGGUCCAGACUCCUACGGGAGGCAGCAGUGGGGAAUAUUGGACAAUGGGCGCAAGCCUGAUCCAGCCAUACCGCGUGGGUGAAGAAGGCCUUCGGGUUGUAAAGCCCUUUUGUUGGGAAAGAAAAGCAGCAGGUUAAUACCCCGCUGUUCUGACGGUACCCAAAGAAGAAGCACCGGCUAACUUCGUG